rnacentral:rRNA from 1 species
GGCGCGAAAACUUUACAAUGCGGGAAACCGUGAUAAGGGGACACCGAGUGCCAGCAUCCUAUGCUGGCUGUCCGGGUGUGUAAAAUACACCUGUUAGCAAGGGCCGGGCAAGACCGGUGCCAGCCGCCGCGGUAACACCGGCGGCCCGAGUGGUGAUCGUGAUUAUUGGGUCUAAAGGGUCCGUAGCCGGUUUGGUCAGUCCUCCGGGAAAUCUGACAGCUCAACUGUUAGGCUAUCGGAGGAUACUGCCAGACUUGGAACCGGGAGAGGUAAGAGGUACUACAGGGGUAGGAGUGAAAUCUUGUAAUCCCUGUGGGACCACCUGUGGCGAAGGCGUCUUACCAGAACGGGUUCGACGGUGAGGGACGAAAGCUGGGGGCACGAACCGGAUUAGAUACCCGGGUAGUCCCAGCCGUAAACGAUGCUCGCUAGGUGUCAGGCAUGGCGCGACCGUGUCUGGUGCCGCAGGGAAGCCGUGAAGCGAGCCACCUGGGAAGUACGGCCGCAAGGCUGAAACUUAA